rnacentral:misc_RNA from 1 species
UACAGAGCCCUCAAGCGUUAUCCGGAUUUAUUGGGCGUAAAGGGUCCGUAGCCGGUUUGGUAAGUCUGAGGUUAAAUCCCAAGGGCUCAACUUUUGGAAUGCUUUAGAAACUACCAAACUAGAAGGCGUCAGGGGGUGAUGGAACGUACGGUGGAGGGGUGAAAUCCGUUGAUAUCGUACGGAACACCAAAAGCGAAGGCAUUCACCUGGGGCGACCUUGACGGUGAGGGACGAAAGCGUGGGGAGCAAAGAGG